GACGAACGCUGGCGGCGUGCUUAACACAUGCAAGUCGAACGGUAAGGCCUUCGGGUACACGAGUGGCGAACGGGUGAGUAACACGUGGGUGAUCUGCCCCCUACUCUGGGAUAAGCCUGGGAAACUGGGUCUAAUACCGGAUAUGACCUUGAGCUUCAUGGUUCUUGGUGGAAAGUUUUUUCGGUAGGGGAUGAGCCCGCGGCCUAUCAGCUUGUUGGUGGGGUAAUGGCCUACCAAGGCGACGACGGGUAGCCGGCCUGAGAGGGCGACCGGCCACACUGGGACUGGGACACGGCCCAGACUCCUACGGGAGGCAGCAGUGGGGAAUAUUGCACAAGGGGCGAAAGCCUGAUGCAGCGACGCCGCGUGGGGGAUGACGGCCUUCGGGUUGUAAACCCCUUUCAGUCGGGACGAAGCGAGAGUGACGGUACCGAUAGAAGAAGCACCGGCCAACUACGUGCCAGCAGCCGCCGUAAAAC
rnacentral:rRNA from 1 species